rnacentral:rRNA from 1 species
GUAGGUGAACCUGCGGAGGGAUCAUUACACAAAUAUGAAGGCGGGCUGGAACCUCUCGGGGUUACAGCCUUGCUGAAUUAUUCACCCUUGUCUUUUGCGUACUUCUUGUUUCCUUGGUGGGUUCGCCCACCACUAGGACAAACAUAAACCUUUUGUAAUUGCAAUCAGCGUCAGUAACAAAUUAAUAAUUACAACUUUCAACAACGGAUCUCUUGGUUCUGGCAUCGAUGAAGAACGCAGCGAAAUGCGAUAAGUAGUGUGAAUUGCAGAAUUCAGUGAAUCAUCGAAUCUUUGAACGCACAUUGCGCCCUUUGGUAUUCCAAAGGGCAUGCCUGUUCGAGCGUCAUUUGUACCCUCAAGCUUUGCUUGGUGUUGGGCGUCUUGUCUCUAGCUUUGCUGGAGACUCGCCUUAAAGUAAUUGGCAGCCGGCCUACUGGUUUCGGAGCGCAGCACAAGUCGCACUCUCUAUCAGCAAAGGUCUAGCAUCCAUUAAGCCUUUUUUUCAACUUUUGACCUCGGAUCAGGUAGGGAUACCCGCUGAACUUAAGCAUAUCAAUAAGCGG